rnacentral:tRNA from 1 species
GGCAUCGUAGUGUAGUGGUUAAGCACUUGGGAUUUUGAUUCCCACAACCCAGGUUCGAACCCUGGCGACGCCU